UACGGAGGAUGCGAGCGUUAUCCGGAUUUAUUGGGUUUAAAGGGUACGUAGGCGGUCCGUUAAGUCAGCGGUAAAAUUGCGGGGCUCAACCCCGUCGAGCCGUUGAAACUGUCAGACUUGAGUUGGCGAGAAGUACGCGGAAUGCGCGGUGUAGCGGUGAAAUGCAUAGAUAUCGCGCAGAACUCCGAUUGCGAAGGCAGCGUACCGGCGCCACACUGACGCUGAGGCACGAAAGCGUGGGGAUCGAACAGG
rnacentral:rRNA from 1 species